CCUACGGGAGGCUGCAGUAGGGAAUUUUCGUCAAUGGGCGCAAGCCUGAACGAGCAAUGCCGCGUGAACGAGGAAGGUCUUCGGAUCGUAAAGUUCUGUUGAAGGGGAAAAAGAGCGGAGAGAGGAAAUGAACUCCGAUUGAUAUUACCCUUCGAGGAAGUCACGGCUAACUACGUGCAAGCAGCCGCGGUAAUACGUAGGUGGCGAGAGUUAUCCGGAAUGAUUGGUGGCGAAGGGUGCGUAGGCGGCCGUCUAAGUCUGAGGGGAAAGGUACCGGCUCAACCGGUACAGGCUCUGGAAACUGGCGGGCUAGAGUGCAGGAGAGGGCGGUGGAACUCCAUGUGUAGCGGUAAAAUGCGUAGAUAUAUGGAAGAACACCAGUUGCGAAGGCGGCCGCCUGGCCUGUUACUGACGCUGAUGCACGAAAGCGUGGGGAGCAAAUAGGAUUAGAUACCCUUGUAGUC
rnacentral:rRNA from 1 species